ACUGAACCUUAUCAUUUAGAGGAAGGAGAAGUCGUAACAAGGUUUCCGUUGGUGAACCUGCGGAAGGAUCAUUGUCGAAUCCUGCCUAGCAGAACGACCAGAGAA
rnacentral:rRNA from 1 species